GCAUAUCAAUAAGCGGAGGAAAAGAAACCAACAGGGAUUGCCUCAGUAACGGCGAGUGAAGCGGCAACAGCUCAAAUUUGAAAUCUGGCCCCCUCGGGGUCCGAGUUGUAAUUUGGAGAGGAUGCUUCGGGUGUGGCCCCGGUCUAAGUUCCUUGGAACAGGACGUCACAGAGGGUGAGAAUCCCGUACGUGCCCGGUGGCCGCCCCCGUGUGAAGCUCCUUCGACGAGUCGAGUUGUUUGGGAAUGCAGCUCAAAAUGGGUGGUAAAUUUCAUCUAAAGCUAAAUAUUGGCCAGAGACCGAUAGCGCACAAGUAGAGUGAUCGAAAGAUGAAAAGCACUUUGGAAAGAGAGUUAAACAGUACGUGAAAUUGUUGAAAGGGAAGCGCUGGCAACCAGACUUGCGCGGGGUCGAUCAUCCGGUGUUCGCACCGGUGCACUCGGCCCCGCGCAGGCCAGCAUCGGUCUGGGCGGCUGGAUAAAGGCCUUGGGAAUGUGGCUCUCUUCGGGGAGUGUUAUAGCCCAAGGUGCAAUGCAGCCCGCCUGGACCGAGGACCGCGCUCCGGCUAGGAUGCUGGCGUAAUGGUUGUCAGCGACCCGUCUUGAAACACGGACCAAGGAGUCUAACAUCUAUGCGAGUGUUUGGGUGUCAAACCCAUACGCGUAAUGAAAGUGAACGGAGGUGAGAACCCUUAAGGGUGCAUCAUCGACCGAUCCUGAUGUCUUCGGAUGGAUUUGAGUAAGAGCAUAGCUGUUGGGACCCGAAAGAUGGUGAACUAUGCCUGAAUAGGGUGAAGCCAGAGGAAACUCUGGUGGAGGCUCGCAGCGGUUCUGACGUGCAAAUCGAUCGUCAAAUUUGGGCAUAGGGGCGAAAGACUAAUCGAACCAUCUAGUAGCUGGUCCUGCCGAA
rnacentral:rRNA from 1 species